CUAUAGUUGGCUAAAGUGUAUGUAAGUAAUAAUAAAAUAUAGCAAUGUAAUAUCUAAUAUAAGCAUCCUACACCGAAUGACACCCCGCGACCAUCAUACACCAUCUAUACCAUCUUUACCAUCUGACAGCUCUUCUCUGUAUAACCACCCUACACCAUCAUACACCAUCUGACAACCAUCUGACACGCUUCGACCAUCAUACACCAUCUGACACAUUUCGACCAUCAUACACCAUCUGUACCAUCUUCACCAUCUGACAACCCUUGCCUGUAUAACCACUCUACACCAUCAUACACCAUCUGACAACCAUCUGACACACUUCUAC